rnacentral:rRNA from 1 species
CCUACGGGGGGCUGCAGUGGGGAAUAUUGCGCAAUGGGCGAAAGCCUGACGCAGCGACGCCGCGUGAGGGAUGAAGGUUUUCGGAUCGUAAACUUCUGUCAGCAGGGAAGAACGGUCACGUUGCUAAUCAGCAAUGACUUGACGGUACCUGCACAGGAAGCACCGGCUAACGCCGGGCCAGCAGCCGCGGUAAUACGGAGGGUGCGAGCGUUACUCGGAAUUACUGGGCGGAAAGCGCUUGUAGGCGGUAUGUCAAGUCAAGGGUGAAAUCCCCGGGCUCAACGUUGGAACUGCCUUUGAAACUGGUAAACAGGAGUAUGUGAGAGGAUAGUGGAAUUCCAGGUGUAGGGGUGAAAUCCGUAGAUAUCUAGAGGAACAUCAGUGGCGAAGGCGACUAUCUGGCACAUAACUGACGCUGAGGAGCGAAAGCGUGGGUAGCAAACAGGAUUAGAUACCCUAGUAGUC